GGGGCUGUAGCUCAAUCGGGAGAGCGCAACACUGGCAGUGUUGAGGUAAGGGGUUCGAAUCCCCUCAGCUCCACCA
rnacentral:tRNA from 8 species